CCGCGUGAGCGAUGAAGGCCUUCGGGUUGUAAAGCUCUGUUGAGGGGGAAGAUAGUGACGGUACCCCUUAAGAAAGCCCCGGCUAACUACGUGCCAGCAGCCGCGGUAAGACGUAGGGGGCGAGCGUUGUCCGGAAUUACUGGGCGUAAAGGGCGUGUAGGCGGCCUGUUAAGUCAGCUGUGAAAUUCCCCGGCUCAACUGGGGGCUUGCAGUUGAAACUAGCAGACUUGAGUGCAGGAGAGGAAGGUGGAAUUCCCAGUGUAGCGGUGAAAUGCGUAGAUAUUGGGAGGAACACCGGUGGCGAAGGCGGCCUUCUGGCCUGUAACUGACGCUGAGGCGCGAAAGCUAGGGUAGCAAACAGGAUUAGAUACCCUGGUAGUCCUAGCCGUAAACGCUGGGUACUAGGUGUAGGGGGUUUAGACGCCUUCUGUGCCGUAGUUAACGCAUUAAGUACCCCGCCUGGGGAGUACGAUCGCAAGGUUGAAACUCAAAGGAAUUGACGGGGGCCCGCACAAGCGGUGGAGCAUGUGGUUUAAUUCGACGCAACGCGAAAAACCUUACCAGGGCUUGACAUCUGCCUGACGUUUGAUAAAGAUAGCAAAUUUCCCUUCGGGACAGGCAGACAAGUGGUGCAUGGUUGUCCUCCGCUCGUGGCGUGAGAUGUUUGGGUAAAUUCCCGCAACGAGCCCCACCCCUUAUUUCUUAUUUGCCCCCAGGUAAAACUGGGGCAUCCUAAGGAAAAUGCCGGGGAACAAACCAGAAUAAGGGGGGGGAUGAACUCAAA
rnacentral:rRNA from 1 species